GACGAACGCUGGCGGCGUGCCUAAUACAUGCAAGUCGAACGCUUCUUUCCUCCCGAGUGCUUGCACUCAAUUGGAAAGAGGAGUGGCGGACGGGUGAGUAACACGUGGGUAACCUACCCAUCAGAGGGGGAUAACACUUGGAAACAGGUGCUAAUACCGCAUAACAGUUUAUGCCGCAUGGCAUAAGAGUGAAAGGCGCUUUCGGGUGUCGCUGAUGGAUGGACCCGCGGUGCAUUAGCUAGUUGGUGAGGUAACGGCUCACCAAGGCCACGAUGCAUAGCCGACCUGAGAGGGUGAUCGGCCACACUGGGACUGAGACACGGCCCAGACUCCUACGGGAGGCAGAAGUAGGAAAUCUUCGGCAAUGGACGAAAGUCUGACCGAGCAACGCCGCGUGAGUGAAGAAGGUUUUCGGAUCGUAAAACUCUGUUGUUAGAGAAGAACAAGGACGUUAGUAACUGAACGUCCCCUGACGGUAUCUAACCAGAAAGCCACGGCUAACUACGG
rnacentral:rRNA from 1 species